AAACCUCAACCUCCUUGGUUUCUUCUGGAGACCAUAGCAGGCUUGGACUUUGGAGGCCUUUGCUGGCACCUCUCAUUUUGAAGGCCAGCUCCUCUUAAACAAAUUAGCAGGGUCCUCUUUGCUGAUCCUCGACGUGUGAUAAGAUGUUUCCAUGUCUUGGUUUCUGGCUCUGUCACUUUUAUUGGGACCUGCUUCUAACCGUCUGGACCUUGCGUCGAGACAACGUUCGAGCAUGUGCCUCCCUUCUCGGGAAGCUCCCUCGACCCCACGACC
rnacentral:misc_RNA from 1 species